CGCAUUUCAGCGCUGGAACGUCUACCCGCUGCGCCAAACCAAAACUUUGCAGUAAUAGUUGAUGCUGUUUCCUGCACUUUGGUGGAGAUUUGCACCAGGCGCUGGAGACCGUCCCACCUGGCCAAUGCCCACCUCCCGGUGAACACAGAGACCCAACUUUGUGCACCGCCAGUCUUGUUAUCAAAAAACAGGCUAGUGCCAGGCGCGGUGGCUCAAGCUUGUAAUCCCAACACUUUGGGAGGCGGAUGCGGGCGGAUCACGAGGUCAGGAGAUCGAGACCACGGUGAAACCCCGUCUCUACUGAAAAUACAAAAAAUUAGCCGGGCGUGGUGGCGGGCGCCUGUAGUCCCAGCUACUCGGAGAGGCUGAGGCAGGAGAAUGGCGUGAACCCGGGAGGAGGAGCUUGCAGUGAGCAGAGAUCGCGCCAAUGCACUCCAGCCUGAGCGACAGAGCGAGACUCCGUCUCAAAAAAAAAAAAAAAAAAAAAAAACCAGGUUAGUAAAUUAUAAAAAAUAAAAUAAAGGAAAUGUAGCCGGGCGUGGUGGCGUGCGCCUGUAAUCCCAUCUACUCCGGAGGCUGAUGCAGGAGAAUCGUUUGAACCCGGGAGGUGGAGAUUGCAGUGAGCCGAGAUCGCGCCACUCCCCUCCAGCCUGGGCGGCAAGACCGAAACUCCGUCUGAAAAGAAUAAAAUAAAAGGAAAUGGGGCCGGGCGCGGUGGCUCACGCCUGUAGUUCCAGCACUUUGGGAGGCCGAGGCGGGCGGAUUACUUGAGGUCAGGAGUUCGAGACCAGUCCGGCCGCCAACAUGACGAAACCUCCGUCUGUACUAAAAAUACAAAAAUUAGCCAGGCGUGGUGGCGGGCGCCUGUAAUCCCGGCUACUCAGGAGUCAGAGGCACAAGAAUCGCUUGAACCCGGGAGGCGGAGGUUGCAGUGAGCCGAGAUCGCGCCCCUGCGCUCCAGCCUGGGCGACCGAGUGAGACUCCGUCUUAAAAUAAAAUAGGCCGGGCGCAGUGGCUCACGCCUGUAAUCCCAGCACUUUGGGAGGCCGAGGCGGGUGGAUUGCCUGAGCUCUGGAGUUCGAGACCAUCCUGGGCAACAUGGUGAAACUCCGUCUCUACUAAAAAAACAAAAAUUAGCCGGGCGUGGUGGCACAUGCCUGUAAUCGUAGCUACUUGGGAGGCUGAGGCAGGAGAAUCGUUUGAACCCGGGAGGGGGAGGUUGCAGUGAGCCGAGAUCGCGAUAUUGCACUCCAGCCUGGGCGAGAGGAUCGAAACUCCGUCUCAAAAAAAUAAAUAAACAAAUAAAUAAAUAUAAAGGAAAUGGACAAAGGAAACACAAAUGCAUGAAAUCAAACAAAUGCUUUCUCUGACGGACUCCGUCUUUGCAAAACUGAACCUAGGACAAUGUGCACGUUUCUACCUAGCAAUUCCGGAGGACAGAGCGGGCAGGGAGGUGAACUUGCUUUUCUGUAAUUUAAUUGACUUGUCAGUAAAGUCAGUGUUUUGCAGGCAUUUUCAGUGUUCUGUAGUGGGCUUUAGUUCCGAUCACAGUGUGGCAGGCCAGGUUUCCAUUAGCAACCAGAACAGUUUCCACUAACCCUUUACUAUAAUUUUGAUGAAUGCAUAAGUUAAACGUUGAAGAAAUGGAGAAACUGGUGCCUGAGUAUCAGGGAUGGAAUGCGAAAACGAACCCAUUAAGACCCUGCCUUGGUCUUCUCAGAUCCUAAAGUCUGAUCGAAUAAUAAUAGCAUUCUUACACAUUCACCUCAGCCUGUCUUAAGAUUCAGAAACUUUCCAAGACUCUAGAGAAAUCUUUCCAGACCCUAGGCCCUAGUUAAAGAUUAGAUGUUGAUUGAAUGCAACACUUCUGCUUGUAGGUGCAGUCCCACACAUACCGUGGACCUUAAGAUGUCUAUAAACACUAGAAAAAAACUUGUAACUUUGAGUUGGUCUGGUGAGUUACUUGGCCCUUCUCCAUGUAAUCGGUUGCAGAAAUAAACUUUCUUCUUUCCCAGUCUGUCUGCAUCCUAUUGGAGAAUCGCGACGGACUGACUCAGCAAACUCCUCUUUUGUGUGGUUAUCUGGGACUCCUUUGGGAGGGAACAUUUUAAAUUUUCCAUUUCAAAGGGUUCCAUUGGCACUCUUGCACUGUUAUUCUCUGCCUACCCUGAGACUUGAGUUCUCCUGGACUCGAAUCUCCAGCCACAGAGUCCAGAAGCCCAUACCUCCACAUUCUGUGACUGUUCCCAAACACAGGGAGAAUUUGCAGAAAAUAUGUAUAAAAACCUUGCCAUUCUUCGCAAUAAAACCCCACAUUACAAACUGGUGAAAACGGAGGAUUUUAGCUUGAACAGGUUUUUCCUCUAUUUGAAAUCAAUCAUUUCCCUUUUACAAUUUUGGAGUGAAGUUUCAAAAUCAGUACGCACCCACUCCCAGGUUUAUCCUUAUGUAAAGUGCCCCCUCUGCACAUGCAACAUUUAAUAAACCUUGAAAAUAUGAUGCUAAGUGAAAGAAGCCAGUCACAAAAGACCACAUGUUGUGUAAUUCCAUUUAAUGUGGUGCUGUUUGCACAACUGUGCAAAUAUACUGAAAACCGUUGAAUUUUACACUUUCAAUGGGUGGCUUCUGUGAUAUGUUAUUAAUAUUUCUCAAUAAAACUUCAAAAAAAAAUAGUGCCUAUGUCUUUUUAUGUAUUAUUCCUCCAGAGUCUAGUCCACAUUUUUAUACUUGAUGAAUAAAUUAAGAUUUUGUUUAUUCUACUUCUUCUUCUUUUUUUUUUUUUUUUUUGAGACAGAGUCUCCCUCUGUUGCCCAGACUGGAGUGCAGUGGCACGAUCUCAGCUCGCUGCAACCUCCAGGCUAAUUUUUAUAUUUUUAGUAGAGACAGUGUUUCACCAUGUUGGCUAGAAUGCUCUCGAACUUCUGACCUCAAGUGAGUCCCCCACCUUUUCCUCCCAAAGUUCUGAGAUUGCAGGCAUGAGCCACCAUACCCAGUCCAAGAUUGAGUUUCCGUUGUUUCAGAUGCCCUAGGACCAUCUUAUUCUACCUUAAUUUCUGAUGCAUCAUCUCAGUGGAAAUUUUCCAUUAGAUGCCAAAGUAUUUUACUCUUUUUAAGAUUUUAUCAGCUGGGUGCAGUGGCUCACACCUGUAAUCUCAACACUUUGGGAGGCCAAGGUGGGAGUAUCAUUUGAGCCCAGGAGUUUGAGACCUGUCUCUGCAACAUAGUGAGACCCACAUAUCUAUAAAAAAAAUAAUAAUAAUUAGGUGGGCGUAUUGGUGCAUGCCUGUGGUCUCAGCUACUAGGUAGGUUAACGUGGGAGGAUCUCUUGAGCCCAAGAGGUCGAGGCUGUGGUGGCCAUGAUUAUACCACGGCACUCCAUCGUGGGUGAAAGAGGGAGACCAUGUCUAAAAAAAAUUUUUUUUAAUUAGAAUUUUUUUUAGAAAACAAAGCAUACACUUCGUGACUUGAUAUAAAUGAAUGACUUUUGUAAUCUACAGAAACCAAAAUAAAUAAAUAAAUAAAUAAAAACCCACAUCCAUUCUUUUUAUGCGAGUCUUUGGUGUCUCUGAGUUAUAAGAAUUGUGAAUUAUGAUCAAUAACAAAUAUGUAUGACAAGGACUCAAUAAGGGAUAGGCAUUAAUAAAUUGCAAUUCACACUGCCUGGAGUAAGGCCUUUAAAGAUGUACAAGAAAAAGAAAGAAAAUGAAAAGGCAUUGAAAAACUGCAUUGCCUACCAAAAUGCUAAAGUUUACCUAAGUCCAUUAAUCAACACACACACACACACACACACACAAUGGAUGUGUAAAAUGGUCAACACAGUCUCCCAUGAGUGUAUUCUCUUAUCAAUAGGUCUGUGGGGGUAAGAGAUGAGGUUCUAUACAUCCUGGAAUCGGGGAUGGGAAAUCUGAGGUCCCUGGGGUGACAGGGGAGGGUCUGUAGAUUAGUGAUAGGUGGUCUUUGGGAUAGUGAUGAGGUCCAUGGAAUCAAUGAUUGUAGGUAUGUAGGGUCAGUGAUGAGGGAAUCUGGUGUGAGUAAUGGGAUGUGUGUGGAAUCAGUGAGAGAGUGUGGAAUCAAUCUGUGAAAGCCCAGAACUGUGGUGUCAUCUCUCAGGGUGACACAUCCUGAUCUGUGUGUCAGUGGUGGAGAUUCUAUGGGGUAAGAGUGUGGCUGUCAAGUCCCUGCCACUGUGUGUUCUGGGUCCCGCCAAGUGCACAGAUUCCUUUACCUGGUUCUGGCUGGAGAGGCUCUUCUCAAGGACUCCUCUCGUGAAAG
rnacentral:lncRNA from 10 species